AAUAAAUCGUCUGCUGAUCCAGAGUGAUUCUGCCACUGGUCAGACGCUACAGGUGACUGUGCCAGUGUCAUCUCGCGUGCAGAGAAGAAGUUGUGUAUAAUUAUGGUGCAGGACCAUAUCCAUGGAGGAAAAAGUUCGAAAAGCUGUGACGUUAUAGUAUCCAAGCCAGGCGUGAGACCAGUCCAUUGCCUGCUUGAAGUUAACAACGGAAAGGACAAGUUUGCUUUAUACACUGAUGUUGGAGCUUGGGGAAAGCCACUUUACUAUAUUACCCAGCUCAGGCAGUCUGCAAUACUCAAAGAAGUGAGGACUUUGAGGU